GGACUACCGGGGUUUCUAAUCCUGUUUGAUCCCCACGCUUUCGUGCCUCAGCGUCAAUCGUUGCUUAGCCGGCUGCCUUCGCAAUCGGUGUUCUAUGUCAUAUCUAUGCAUUUCACCGCUACAUGACAUAUUCCGCCAACCUCAACAACAUUCAAGACUAAUAGUAUCAUUGGCAGUUUCCAGGUUGAGCCCGGAGAUUUCACCACUGACUUAAUAGCCCGCCUACACACCCUUUAAACCCAGUGAAUCCGGAUAACGCUUGCACCCUCCGUAUUACCGCGGCUGCUGGCAC
rnacentral:rRNA from 1 species